GACGAACGCUGGCGGCGUGCCUAAUACAUGCAAGUUGAGCGAUGAAGCUUGGUGCUUGCACCAAUUUGAAGAGCAGCGAACGGGUGAGUAACGCGUGGGGAAUCUGCCUUUGAGCGGGGGACAACAUUUGGAAACGAAUGCUAAUACCGCAUAACAACUUUAAACAUAAGUUUUAAGUUUGAAAGAUGCAAUUGCAUCACUCAAAGAUGAUCCCGCGUUGUAUUAGCUAGUUGGUGAGGUAAAGGCUCACCAAGGCGAUGAUACAUAGCCGACCUGAGAGGGUGGUCGGCCACAUUGGGACUGAGACACGGCCCAAACUCCUACGGGAGGCAGCAGGAGGGAAUCUUGGGCAAUGGACGAAAGUCUGACCGAGCAACGCCGCGGGAGUGAAGAAGGUUUUCGGAUCGGAAAACUCGGUUGGUAGAGAAGAACGUUGGUGAGAGUGGAAAGCUCAUCAAGUGACGGUAACUAAACAGAAAGGGACGGCUAACUACGUG
rnacentral:rRNA from 1 species